ensembl:lncRNA
UUUCUGGCUCUCACAGACCUAAAGAAGAUAGUUUGUGCGUUUGCAUUAGCCUGCCUGGAGUGCCAGAUGGAUGUGGGGGUUCUGUAAUAACUCCUCCUUGCCUGUAGGUGGCGUACUUCCCAUUUGACUGGCAGAGCUGCAUUGUGGUGUUUUGCUCCUAUAACUCAUCAGAGAUGGGUCUCCAAUAUGCCCUGGAUGAGAAUGAAGAGGAGAUACAGGACAUAGAUGAGAAUGCCUUAAUUGCUGUGGAGAUGACUCUGACCAUCACUGUCCUCAUCUGUGUAAUGCUUCUCCUCUUCGUCUGAGGAGGAGUAGGAAGGAUCGGACCAAUGCGCAGCGUGGAUGUCGGUGGGCGGAGCCGUGAGGGUCGUCAGCGACAUGGGACACACCUGGGCCUUUCACUCAAACCCAGACCCUUUUCUUUUGUGUAACAAGCUGUCAUAUCUGUUCCGCCCGCUAGGGACGUUUUCCUUUAUGACGUAAUUUGUAAUCAAGUUAUGAUUAAUUAUGUGUAUGUUUAAUUCUGUGUGAUUAGUUAGGUAUUUCGUAAAUAAAUAAUUA